AACGAACGUUAGCGGCGCGCUUAACACAUGCAAGUCGAACGAGAAAGGGCUUCGGCCCCGGUAAAGUGGCGCACGGGUGAGUAACACGUGGGUAACCUGCCCUCGAGCGGGGGAUAACAUUCCGAAAGGAGUGCUAAUACCGCAUAAGACCACGAUCUCGAAAGAGGACGAGGUAAAAGCUGGCCUCUAUACAUAAGCUAGCACUUGAGGAUGGGCCCGCGGCGCAUCAGGUAGUUGGUGAGGUAAUGGCUCACCAAGCCUAAGACGCGUAGCUGGUCUGAGAGGAUGAUCAGCCACACUGGAACUGAGACACGGUCCAGACUCCUACGGGAGGCAGCAGUGGGGAAUCUUGCGCAAUGGGCGAAAGCCUGACGCAGCGACGCCGCGUGAGUGACGAAGGCCUCGGUCGUAAAGCUCUGUGGGCGAGACGAAUAAGUAGCAGCCUAAUACGCUGCAUGAUGACGGUAUCGCCUUAGCAAGCC
rnacentral:rRNA from 1 species